GGGCUCGUAGCUCAGCUUGGUUAGAGCGCCGGUCUUAUAAGCCGGAGGUCUGGGGUUCGAAUCCCCACGAGCCCA
rnacentral:tRNA from 1 species